UCCUCCGACCCGGAAACCACCGCAAGGGAAUCCGAUUGGAACUCUCACGUCCGGCCACCCCAUGACGGCGCGCGAGCUCCAUUCCCUUCGUCUCUGCGUCGCCUACCUCACCGUAGCCUCUGAUCGUCCAUGCACUGAACAGAGAAGAAGAAUCGAUGAUGGGAAGCUUUGUGUCUCCUCCGGCGAGUUCUGCAAUUUCCGGCUACUCCGGCCACCGUCUGAGCUGCUGGUGAUCCGGCGCUGUUCUUCGACGCCGGCGGCUUCUCUGGUUUCUCUUGGUUCGCUCUCCACCUCAGUUCAUCGUCAGUCGGGUUUCGGUUUUGAGAUCAAAACAAGGUGAGUUGAAUUGCUUUCGGCUUUGGUGAAUUGUGAUGGUUGUUACGCUGUUGACGGGUUGAUGUUUUGGUGGGGAUGAAAUUCCAGAAGCUGUGAAUUGGUGGGCAUCAAUUUGACAGUGUAUUCAUAGCCGGGUUUCGGAAAGGAGUUGAAGUAGAAGCUUGGGUUUUCCACCUGCAAUUCGUGCUACCCAAGGACUCCAGUUACCCGAGGAACAGAAGGUUCGCAACUCUCGAAGUACGUGAGAGAAAGCAUCGGAAUCCAGUAUGGAUGCAGGUACUGUGCACUGGUGACGGGACAGUAGCGGACGGAGCUGGGUGUGCGGAACAAGUUCGGUAAAUCUUUGUUUGGUUUCCAAUCUGAAUUAUACUUCGCAAUCUUCGUGUUCAGGACUUGUUGAAAUCUAGUCUCG